rnacentral:rRNA from 1 species
AGAAUCAACGCUGGCGGCGUGCCUAACACAUGCAAGUCGCACGAGAAAGGGACUUCGGUCCUGAGUACAGUGGCGCACGGGUGAGUAACACGUGAAUAAUCUACCUCCGAGUGGGGAAUAACUGAGAGAAAUCUUAGCUAAUACCGCAUAACACUUACGAGUCAAAGCAGCAAUGCGCUUGGAGAGGAGUUCGCGGCAGAUUAGUUAGUUGGCGGGGUAAUGGCCCACCAAGACGAUGAUCUGUAUCCGGCCUGAGAGGGGCGCGACGGAACGACGACUGGAACGUGAAACACGGUCCAGACUCCUACGGGAGGCAGCAGUGGGGAAUUUUGCGCAAUGGGGGAAACCCUGACGCAGCAACGCCGCGUGGAGGAUGAAAUCCCUUGGGAUGUAAACUCCUUUCGAUAGGGAAGAUAAUGACGGUACCUAUAGAAGAAGCCCCGGCUAACUUCGUGCCUAGCAGCCGC